AUGGCGGAGGCCGUCAUUGGGGCGCUGGUGGGGAAGCUGCAGGAGCUGGCGAUGAGCGAAGCCCGGGCAAUGGUGGCGGUGAACGAAGACAUACGGAGCCUCUGGGACAAGCUCAUGUGGAUGCAGGCCUUCCUCCGCGACGUCGAGCCACGGCGGCGCCUACAGAACGACGAGCUCAUCAGGGUUUGGCUCAUUGGCUGCAACAGACCCGCAGCGCGGUCUGAGGAUGCCGUCGACCAGUACAUCCUCCAGGUCGACCUCUCCAGGUGUGUGUGCUUUGCUCGCCGCUCCAAAUUAAACCGCCCGGCCCUUUCCAUGCAAAAUAAAGAAACUAUAUACUCCCUCCGUUUUUAUUUAUUUACUCUGCAUAUUGAAGUUGACUGGCAAGUUUGUAGAAAAUAA
rnacentral:rRNA from 1 species